rnacentral:rRNA from 1 species
GACGAACGCUGGCGGCGUGCUUAACACAUGCAAGUCGAACGAUGAAGCUGGAGCUUGCUCCGGUGGAUUAGUGGCGAACGGGUGAGUAACACGUGAGCAAUCUGCCCUUGACUCUGGGAUAACUGCGGGAAACUGUAGCUAAUACCGGAUACUUUCCUUGGUGGGCAUCCACUGGGGAAGAAAGAAUUUCGGGCAAGGAUGAGCUCGCGGCCUGUCAGCUAGUUGGUGAGGUAAUGGCUCACCAAGGCGACGACGGGUAGCCGGCCGGAGGGGGUGACCGGCCACACUGGAACUGGGACCAGGUACAGACUCCUACGGGAGGAAGCAGUGGGGAAUAUUGCACAAUGGGCGAAAGCCUGAUGCAGCAACGCCGCGUGAGGGACGAAGGCCUUCGGGUUGUAAACCUCUUUUAGCAGGGAAGAAGCGAAAGUGACGGUACCUGCAGAAAAAGCACCGGCUAACUACGUGCCAGCCGCCGCCGUAA